GUUGGAUUAUGGUUCAUGUGUCUGACUUGUAUGCGCCAAGUGGGGAUGAAGUUCAGUGGUGGGAUGUUGUGAAUGGUGGGGACUAUAUGAGUACGGAUCUGAUUGGAUGACUUUUUCUGGCUGCGUGUGACGAGACCUGUGUAGUUGGAUUAUGGUUCAUGCGUCUGACUUGUAUGCGCCAAGUGGGGAUGAAGUUCAGUGGUGGGAUAUUGUGAAUGGUGGGGACAAUAUGCACCUCAGGCGAUUCCCAUGGCAAGGCAAGUCAUUCUGUUUCAGCUUCCAGAACCAGCAGCAUCCAGGUGGACCAAGCAGGACUAGGACCAGGACCGGAAUAUUUUUUUGUCUGUUACAGAUUUCCACAGCAAUGGAGGAAACACAGCAGCGACCGAAAUAGAGGGCGCUACAUGUCAACAAAAGUGGGGGAAUUGGAAAAAAGUGGGGAUCCAGGGAUAUAAUAGGUAACGCAAACCUGUUAAGCUCAUUCUGUUUCAGUUUCCAAGAUCAACAACAUCAGCCUCGAUACCAGCAGCAGUAGAAUCCAUACUAAUAACAUCAGGACUCUAGCAGAAUUCAUAUAGCUGGUUUCCAAUGUCAUCAGGACUCUAGCAGUAUUUUUAUAGCGGGGUUCCGAUUUUAACGUCAGCAAAAGCAAUUUUUAUUUCCAAGAAAGGGUAGGGGGUAACCUCAAAACUACGAUCUACACCUUAAAUUUCAUCAUUAAGAGUCAACCUCCAUCGCUAAAGUUAUCCAUGUAAAAUUCAGUGAGGGAUUUAAGCUGAGAGGUUCACUUUGUUGCGGAUAGUAGUAUUUGAAAAGCAAAUUGAACAGACAUUUUAUGUACAUACGCAAUGAGCAUCAUCAACAUUCAAACAUCAACUUCACAUUAAGUGUUUUUCCUCCUUCCGCUAGAGAAUCCUAGGAGCUGAGAAUCAACUUUGGACAACAUUUUUUUGUUUUGUUUCAGCGUCUGCUUUUUGUUUCAGCGUUUGCUUUUUUGUUUCAGCGUUUACUUUUUGUUUCAGCGUUUACUUUUUGUUUCAGCGUUUGCUUUUUGUUUCAGCGUUUACUUUUUGUUUCAGCGUUUGCUUUUUGUUUCAGCGUUUGCUUUUUGUUUCAGUGUUUAGAAUUUUUUUUUUUAAUUGAAAAAUGUCCCAACGUAGAGUUAAUACACCGUACAAACGAGUAGCAUCUCUUGAUAGCAUUAAUGAAAUUUGUGAAGCCUCGCAAAAUUUUAUUGAUGUUGCCGAUAUAGAGUUGCGGUCUGUAACAUCCAAAUCGAAUGAUAAGCGAAUCAUUAGUACAUUUGAGUGGUAUAACAAAUGUAAAAAACAUUACGCAAUUUUAAU